CUCUUAUAGAUUUUAUAGAAUUUGGUUUUUAGGUGAAGAAACCUAAAUAUAAUUAAAAGACAAGAAGACCCUAUCGAGCUUAAAAUAAUUUUUUUGGUAUAAUGGUAACACCUUACUCAAAAAAAGAUUUUAGUUGGGGCGACUAAGGAACACAAAAAGCUUCCUAUAAACUAUAGCUGCUAAUAAGUAUUGAUCCAAAAAUUUGAUUAACAGAAUUAGUUACCGUAGGGAUAACAGCAUAAUCUUUUCUAAGAGUCCUUAUCGAAGAAAAGGUUUGUGACCUCGAUGUUGGACUAGGGUGCCCAGACAGGUGCAGAAGCCUUCAAUGGUUGGUCUGUUCGACCA
rnacentral:rRNA from 1 species